UACGUAGGUGGCAAGCGUUUGUUCGGAAUUACUGGGCGUAAAGCGCGUGUAGGCGGCUAAGUAAGUCGGGCGUGAAAUCCCACGGCUCAACCGUGGAAGUGCACUCGAAACUGCAUAGCUAGAGUCCUGGAGAGGAAGGUGGAAUGCUUGGUGUAGAGGUGAAAUUCGUAGAUAUCAAGCGGAACACCGGUGGCGAAGGCGGCCUUCUGGACAGUGACUGACGCUGAGACGCGAAAAGCGUGGGGAGCAAACAGG
rnacentral:rRNA from 1 species